UACGUAGGGGGCAAGCGUUGUCCGGAUUUAUUGGGCGUAAAGGGUGCGUAGGCGGCGCGGUAAGUCGGGUGUGAAAUCCCUCGGCUCAACCGAGGAACUGCAUCCGAUACUGGCGGGCUUGAAUCCGGGAGAGGGAUGUGGAAUUCCAGGUGUAGCGGUGAAAUGCGUAGAUAUUGGGAAGAACACCGGUGGCGAAGGCGGCGACCUGGUCCGUGACUGACGCUGAGGCGCGAAAGCGUGGGGAGCAAACAGG
rnacentral:rRNA from 1 species